rnacentral:rRNA from 1 species
GACGAACCGAGCGAACGUUGUUCGGAAUCACUGGGCUUAAAGGGCGCGUAGGCGGGCCGUCUAGUCCGUGGUGAAAUCCUCCGGCUCAACCGGAGAAGUGCCUCGGAUACUGGGCGGCCUCGAGGGGGGGGGGUAGGGGCGUGCGGAACUUCCGGUGGAGCGGUGAAAUGCGUAGAUAUCGGAAGGAACACCGGUGGCGAAAGCGGCGCGCUGGACCCCAUCUGACGCUGAGGCGCGAAAGCCAGGGGAGCAAACGGGG